UGCCACACUCACCAACUGCUCAUUGC
rnacentral:piRNA from 1 species